GUCUGACUGAAAAACUAUUGGAACUGCUCAAUAAAUUAACCACACAAUUCCAAAUAUUCAACAAAUAUGUGUGUUAUGUAAAAUAAGUAUAUUUCGUCAUGCAAUAUAAUUAAUUUAGGUGGCAUUCUAUUAAUAAUAAAAGGAUACAAAGGGAAGACCCCCAUUUUCUACCUCCAAAGACCUUACCUUUUUAUCAUGACUCAAAGAAACCUAAACCUAUAUGUCCUGAAUGAAAACAGAUUUUGAUAUAGUCAGUUUUAAUGAGAAAAUUAAUAAAAUUUGAGUUAUC
rnacentral:lncRNA from 1 species